GUAGGACCCUGGCCUGCUGGAUUAUAAGAAUUGAGCAAAACUGUGGCUUUAGGGGUCUGCCCUGAUCCAAGGGAAGAUGACACUGCAAGGACCUUGCAACAGGCACCCCCAUUGCUGCUGGCCAGUGGCUGAUUGUAACGCUCAGUAGAUUUGAUUGCCCAUGCAAACCCAACUUUAUGCCAAAAUGCCCGUAAAUAAUUUUUCUUUUUAGCAAGCAAAGCUCUGCUUGUGCAUUAGCCAGGAACUGACUAAAGAAGAAAAAAGCUGAUUUCCUGAAGUCCUCUGCUGGUGAAGAAUAAUGAACCUGGAAUCAGAAUGGAACAAAGUGAGCAAUAUUAGUGUAAAAGGUCCUGGGUGUGCACUGGUUCAGCGUGCACGGCGCAGACAUCAUGGCUCGUGUGUGUUGUUUGGGAGCUGAUCUUACAGUCUUCUCUGGCCAAUUUAAUAAACAGUGAAGUGCAGAGUGCUUGGCAUCAAAAGUAGCACCAUCUGUUCUCAAAGCAUGGAUCCUUGUCUCAGGGAAGGGAGCUGCUGUUGUUUUUCAUGAGAAGGUAGGUAGUUGCCUCACUGGAGGGGAGAUCUGGAGUUCUCAGA
rnacentral:lncRNA from 1 species